GGGGACGUAAUGGUUUCGACGGGGUAUGCUGAAGGUAGAGUUGCGUGUCGAGGUGCCGUUGGCCUCGUUAAAAAGCGGCAAGCCAUUAACUGGCAGAAAUCUUCAAAUGGGCUUCCAGCCCGCACUUCGCGCUGCUUAAUUGACAGCACAGUGACUGCACAGCCCAGCUGAUGGCGUUGCAGAAACUGACAUAAAAGUCAGCUAGUCCAGGUUCAUGCCUCUACGGCCUGAGAUGAAACCAAGUUGAGGAUUGCGCGAAAGCGGCCGGUUCAGGGGCAGGCCCAGCGUGAAAUAAAAAUACCUGAGCUACACACGUAGAUGCUUGCUAGAAGGUGCCUCGGACGACGGUUCAAUUCCGUCCGUCUCCACCA
rnacentral:tmRNA from 1 species